rnacentral:tRNA from 1 species
AAAAUCCGUUGACUUUUAAAAUCGUGAGGGUUCCAGUCCCUCUAUCCCCA